CACACCCUCAAGCCCCGCUUGGUGUUGGGCGCCUGUCCCGCCGCGCGCGCGGACUCGCCUCAAAGCGAUUGGCGGCUGGUACGAAGGCCCGGGGUGCAGCAGAAUUGCGCCGCCGGUCCCGAGGGCCCGCCCCCAGAAGCUACCGACCA
rnacentral:misc_RNA from 2 species